rnacentral:rRNA from 1 species
CACGGCGCACGGGUGCGUAACACGUGGGUAAUCUGCCCUCCGGUGGGGAAUAACCCCGCGAAAGCGGGGCUAAUUCCGCAUUACAUUCCCCUCGGCAAAGCCACGCCGGAGGAGGAGCCCGCGCCCGAUUAGCUUGUUGGUAGGGUAACGGCCUACCAAGGCGAUGAUCGGUAGCUGGUCUGAGAGGAUGGCCAGCCACACUGGAACUGAGACACGGUCCAGACUCCUACGGGAGGCAGCAGUGGGGAAUCUUGCGCAAUGGGCGAAAGCCUGACGCAGCGACGCCGCGUGGGGGAUGAAGCUUCUCGGAGUGUAAACCCCUUUCGACUGGGACGAAUGACGGUACCAGUAGAAGAAGCCCCGGCUA